AAAAAAUACGCAUAUUAUUAUAAUUGUUGAACAACAAUGGCGUGGCGUGAGCAUAUGUUGAAAUGGAAAUACGCUUCCAACAAAAUACUUUCCGACGAUUUAUUUUUCCGACAAAAUACGUUUCUAAAAAACCCAUUUUCGACAAAAUACAGUUCCGACAAAUUAUAGCCCUCCGCCCCUGCUGAGUGUAAGACAAUUAUUAUUCAGUCCCCGU